GAUGAACGCUGGCGGCGUGCCUAAUACAUGCAAGUCGAGCGAACAGACGAGGAGCUUGCUCCUCUGACGUUAGCGGCGGACGGGUGAGUAACACGUGGAUAACCUACCUAUAAGACUGGGAUAACUUCGGGAAUCCGGAGCUAAUACCGGAUAAUAUAUUGAACCGCAUGGUUCAAUAGUGAAAGACGGUUUUGCUGUCACUUAUAGAUGGAUCCGCGCCGCAUUAGCUAGUUGGUAAGGUAACGGCUUACCAAGGCGACGAUGCGUAGCCGACCUGAGAGGGUGAUCGGCCACACUGGAACUGAGACACGGUCCAGACUCCUACGGGAGGCAGCAGUAGGGAAUCUUCCGCAAAGGGCGAAAGCCUGACGGAGCAACGCCGCGUGAGUGAUGAAGGUCUUCGGAUCGUAAAACUCUGUUAUUAGGGAAGAACAAAUGUGUAAGUAACUAUGCACGUCUUGACGGUACCUAAUCAGAAAGCCACGGCUAACUACGUG
rnacentral:rRNA from 1 species